AGAGCGAACGCUGGCGGCAGGCCUAACGCAUGCAAGUCGAGCGCCCGUAGCAAUACGGGAGCGGCAGACGGGAUAGUAACACGUGGGAACGCGCCCUUCGGUUCGGAAUAACUCAGGGAAACUUGAGCUAAUACCGGAUACGCCCUUACGGGGAAAGAUUUAUUGCCGAAGGAACGGCCCGCGUCCGAUUAGCUAGUUGGUGAGGUAAUGGCUCACCAAGGCUACGAUCGGUAGCUGGUCUGAGAGGAUGACCAGCAUCACUGGGACUGAGACACGGCCCAGACUCCUACGGGAGGCAGCAGUGGGGAAUAUGGACAAUGGGCGCAAGCCUGAUCCAGCCAUGCCGCGUGGAUGAUGAAGGCUUAGGGUUGUAAAGUCUUUAACGGGAAGAUAAUGACGUACCGUAGAAUAAGCCCGGCUAACUUCGUGCCAGCAGCCGC
rnacentral:rRNA from 1 species